CAGCAGCCGCGGUAAUACGAAGGGUGCAAGCGUUACUCGGAAUUACUGGGCGUAAAGCGUGCGUAGGUGGUGGUUUAAGUCCGUUGUGAAAGCCCUGGGUUCAACCUGGGAAUUGCAGUGGAUACUGGGUCACUAGAGUGUGGUAGAGGAUAGUGGAAUUUCCGGUGUAGCAGUGAAAUGCGUAGAGAUCGGAAGGAACAUCUGUGGCGAAGGCGACUAUCUGGGCCAACACUGACACUGAGGCACGAAAGCGUGGGGAGCAAACAGGAUUAGAUACCCGCGUAGUCCCUGUCUCUUAUAC
rnacentral:rRNA from 1 species